rnacentral:rRNA from 1 species
AGUGAACGCUGGCGGUAGGCCUAACACAUGCAAGUCGAACGGCAGCACAGGAGAGCUUGCUCUCUGGGUGGCGAGUGGCGGGCGGGUGAGGAAUACAUCGGAAUCUACCUUUUCGUGGGGGAUAACGUAGGGAAACUUACGCUAAUACCGCAUACGACCUACGGGUGAAAGUGGGGGACCGCAAGGCCUCACGCGAUUAGAUGAGCCGAUGUCCGAUUAACUAGUUGGCGGGGUAAUGGCCCACCAAGGCGACGAUCGGUAGCUGGUCUGAGAGGAUGAUCAGCCACACUGGAACUGAGACCCGGUCCAGACUCCUACGGGAGGCAGAAGUGGGGAAUAUUGGACAAUGGGCGCAAGCCUGAUCCAGCCAUACCGCGUGGGUGAAGAAGGCCUUCGGGUUGUAAAGCCCUUUUGUUGGGAAAGAAAUCCUGUCGAUUAAUACUCGGUGGGGAUGACGGUACCCAAAGAAUAAGCACCGGCUAACUUCGUGCCAGCAGCCGCCGUAA